UUUUUCUUCACAGGGAGAAGAGAAUUUAUCCAAAGAUUAAAACUUGAAGCAACCUUGAAUGUGCAUGAUGGCUGUGUGAACACAAUUUGCUGGAAUGAUACAGGAGAAUAUAUUUUAUCUGGUUCAGAUGAUACCAACCUGGUAAUUACUAAUCCUUAUAGCAGAAAGGUUUUAACAACCAUUCGCUCAGGACACAGGGCAAAUAUUUUUAGUGCAAAAUUCUUGCCAUGCACCAAUGACAAACAGAUUGUAUCUUGUUCUGGAGAUGGAGUAAUUUUUUACACUAACGUUGAACAAGAUGCAGAGACUAACAGACAAUGCCAGUAUACGUGCCACUAUGGAACUACU